CAACUGCAUCGAAAGAAAAAGCUUGUAAGUGUGAGGGGCAAUUACACUGUGAAUUUUAGUAAGAUUGAGGGGCAAACUAGUAAUUUAAUUAAAUAUUUGUUUUAGCGGGCGAAACGGUUUCAUAUUUUGGCGGUGGUUGCGGAAUCCAGAAGUCAGGAAAAGGAAACACCAACGGCUUUGCCACCUCAGAGUCUUUACCCCAUAAACCGCUUUCUCUGAUUCUCCACUCCGUUAUCUCUAUCUCCGGUCACCCUCCGGCGGCCACAGAGACAGAGACAACGGUGGUGAGCGCUCAUUGAUUCGAGAGAAAAGAUAUGAGUAAUGUAUAAAAUAAGAUAAUGAAACGUUGAAGAAACGAAAUGGAUAAAAGAGGUGUUGUUAUUGCAACUAUUACGAAUAUAUUAAUUUUCGUGUUGGUGUUCUAAUCGCGGUUCGUAAACAUGAGAGAAACGACGACGUCAAUCGUGGAAGUUGGAGAGGACCAAGGAAACGCGGUUCCUCAUUCAAAUGGCGGGGAAGAAAGAAUUUUUGUUGCGAUUAGAGUAAGGCCUUUGAACGAGAGAGAAAGAACGAGACAUGAUGUGUCAGAGUGGGAAUGUGUUUCACAUAACACCAUCAGAUUCAAGAACAGUGGCCAUGCAGAACAGCGAUCGUUGGCGGAUACAUAUACAUUUGAUACGGUAUUUGGGGAAAAGUGUCCCACUAAACAGGUGUAUGAGCAAGGGAUUAAGGAAGUUGCCCUUUCAGUCGUUAGGGGUAUCAAUUCUAGCAUUUUCGCAUACGGGCAAACAAGCAGUGGAAAGACAUAUACCAUGACUGGAAUUACUGAACUUGCAGUAAAGGAUAUAUAUGAAUACAUAGAGAAGCAUAAAGAAAGAGAGUUUGUUGUGAAGUUCUCUGCCUUGGAAAUAUAUAAUGAAGCUGUGAGAGACCUUCUCAAUUCAAAUGCUACCACACUAAGACUUCUAGAUGAUCCAGAGAAAGGGACCAUUGUUGAGAAACUUACAGAGGAGACUCUUACUGAGAGAAGCCGGUUGCAGCAACUUAUUUCAAAAUGUGCAGCUGAAAGGACAACCGAAGAGACUGCCAUGAACGAAACAAGCUCCAGAUCUCAUCAAAUUCUUCGACUGACAGUUGAAAGCAAUCCUAGUGAUUUUGUAGGCGCUGCAAGAUCUGGCGCUCUUUUUGCCAGUGUGAAUUUUGUUGAUCUAGCAGGAAGUGAACGUGCUUCUCAAGCAUUAUCAGCAGGCACAAGAUUGAGAGAAGGUAGCCACAUAAAUCGCAGUUUACUGACCCUUGGAAGUGUAAUUAGGAAACUGAGCAAGGAAAGAAAUGGACACAUACCUUACAGAGAUUCCAAGCUUACUCGCAUUCUGCAUAACUCUUUAGGAGGCAAUGCCAGAACAGCCAUCAUUUGUACCAUUAGCCCUGCACGCAGCCAGGUUGAGCAAUCAAAAAAUACUCUAUUUUUUGCUGGUUGCGCAAAACAGGUGACUACCAAUGCUCGGGUCAAUGAAGUGAUGUCAGACAAGGUUUUGGUAAAGCAACUGCAGAAGGAACUGGCUAGAAUGGAGAAUGAGUUGAGGAGCUUAAAUACCAUUGUUCUUAAGGAAAGGGAACUUCAGAUUGAACAGAUGGAUAAGGAGAUCAAAGAACUGACUCGGCAACGUGAUGUCUUUCAAUCUCAUGUUGAAAGUUUGCUCCAAUCAGCUGGGAAAGACCAGGUUAUAAAAGUAGAUCAAGAUUGGGCCUCAGAGUCCGGUGUUGCUAAUGAUCCUCGUCCAGGGACAGAAACCGCUUAUGAGAAUCUUGACAGAACAACAUCCAGUUCGUCUAUUUCCAAUGAGCACCUUUUUAAGCAAUCUGAAAAUUCUGAAGACAACUUUCUCUUGGAUGGUUGUCCUCCCACAUUUGGCGGGCCUGAUCCAUGUCAAGGUUGGGAGGAGAUGACUAGCAAAGCUAAAUCUGAAGAUAACUGUGAGGAAGUACCGUGCAUUGAAAUCAAAGAAGUGGAAACAGAGUACAAAACAGAUAUUAAUAUCAUUCCAGCUUUUGAAGAAAGAGAAGAAAAUUCACCCAUGAUUCAAGUUGUGGAGAUAGAUGGUAAGUCAUCCUCAGGGAAUGGGCACAGUGAUCUGGAUGCUCCUCAGCAAAACACUGAGGACGUUAAAAGGACCAACAGCCAUCUUGUGGACCUCUUAGAGAAAUCUAGUGACUCAUUUGAAUCUGAACCUCGUUGCUUGGAUGCCAUGUCUCCUCCUGAGACAGAUAAGGUGGAUCAGGAAAAUUCAUGGCAGCCUCGGUUCAGUGAGUUGAAGCAAAAUGUGUGUCCUCUGUAUAAUAAGCUAGACCAGGAACCUACAAGACCUCAUCGGUCUGAUGAGCAGGAGCUUAAAACGGUGUCACCUCCUCAACUUGAUGAUCUGGAACAAGUAUCGUUCCCAUCACCAGCUGGUGUUGAAAAGGAAUAUUCUACUAGUUUGGUUUGCUCUCCUGCAAAGCUAUCUGAACCUAAGUUACAUGCUAAAAGAAGAAAAUCUUCCAGAAAAUCUUCUCUGAUUCACAAGAUGAAUGCUUCAGCGGAAGAUGCAGAAUCUUCUAAGGAUUCUGAUAACGAGGAAACUGCCAGCGUCCUCAACUUUGUCGUAAAAAUGAACGAAAAGGCUAAGCAUAAGCCAAAGUCAGUAGAUAGUGACUUUGAUAAUCUUAUGGUACCUGUGAGGACGCAUGGAAUCAAUCAAAAUGUGAGCAGAGGAAAAGGUGUCAGAUCCCCCGGAAAGUGGGGGGCUUUAAUACCCUCUAAAUUUGAGAUGCAGCAGAGAGAUAUAAUUGAACUUUGGGAUGCAUGCUAUGUGCCACUGGUACAUAGAUCCUAUUUUUUCCUUCUCAUCAAAGGUGAACUUUCGGAUUCUGUGUACUUGGAUGUAGAGCUCAGACGUUUGUCCUUUUUAAAGGACGCUUUUUCUUGCGGAAAUUACACUCCAGGAGAAGGUCUUGACGUCACACCUAAUUCAAGCAUGUUGUCUCUGACUCAUGAGAGGAAAAUGCUGAGUAAGCAAGUGCAUAAAAAGUUUUCGAGGAGGGGAAAAGAGGAACUAUACCUGAGAUGGGGUAUUGAUUUGAAGACUAAGCACAGAAGUAUACAAUUGGCAUGGCUCGUAUGGACGGAUACAAGAGAUUUGAACCACGUAAGAGAAAGUGCUGCGCUUGUUGGGAAGCUGGUUGGUUUUAUAAACACGGGAGAGGCCUCUAAGAAAACGUUUGGACUUGGCUUCUUAACCUGACGUAAGAGCAUGGAAUCCCAUAGUUGGAAGGACACAAUGUCUACUCUUUAAUAGAUCUAGCUUGAGAAAGAAAAAAGAGACAUUUCAGCAGAACUGACUUUAAAUUCAGGCUUAUUUUUUCCGCUUGCUGUGUCAUAUGAGAAAAACCCUUUGUUGCAAAUCAUGGUUGAUACGUGAUACCCAAGCCAAGCUUACUUAAAAAACUGGGGGGAAAUAAUCAAGCGAAAAAAAAAACAACUCUGGAAAUGAUAACACGAUAUAUAUCGUUCCACUAUUUAAAGUAUCUUGGUUGUUCAAAUGACCUACGAUUUCCGGUAAGACAUGAGAAUAACCGCACUUGAUUUGUGACAUAGACGCGAUACGCCGUGUCUGUUGGAGUUAUUAUGUAAACACAUCUUGUUUGUUUAUCACUCAUUAAAAAAUCUAUCCUUUCAUCUUUAUAUUAA